rnacentral:lncRNA from 1 species
UGAAAUCCAAUUAUUUAUAUGGGUUGAGAUGAAUUAUUUUAAUUGUCUCCUAUUACUCAGCUUUACAUUAUUUUGAUGAUGUUUGUCUACUCACUGGGAUUUUAUAAUCUCACCCCUUCUUCCUAUACAUUUUUCAGGCUCAAAAUAGGCAGUAGACUGUCAAUUGCAUCGAGAAGUAAAUUUCGGAGUUGCAUCCUAGAAAGCAAGGUUAUAGACUUAAACUUCUCAGUUAUUUGGGAGCCCACGUGUCAUUGUAAUUUAAAUUACAUACUCCAGUUUUCUAUAUUACAGUAUGUAUAAAUUUAUUUUGUUUUUAUGUGCAAAAAAUUAAUUUUUGAUGUUUCAAAAAUAUAUAUAUAUAUUGUUUUACAUUAAAAUAGAUUAUUUUAAUUAAUAUUUUUAUUUUAUUUUAUUAUUCAAAAAAAAAUAGAGAGGAAUGGAAAAACUGGUACAAAAGCCUUGCGAGGUCUCAAAAGGCAUUCGAGGGAAGAAUGUCUGUCGAGGCUUCGCGACGAUUGUCACGGGCUCGAUGGGAGUUCCGGGUCGUGACAAUACUUUUUUCUGAUACAUAUGAUAAUUAGACCAUGGAUUGAAUUGACGCAUUUUGCUCUAGAAAUUGUUGGAAUUAUCCUUAGGUAAGCUAGUUGGGAUAAUCACUCUUUUAGUUUUACAUGUCUGCGUAAUUUUUAUUUUUUAAUAUUUAAUUCAUGUUUCUGUUAUUGAAAUGUGAUAAUGUUAGAUUUAAUCAUAAUUUUAAAAUAAAAAUAUUUUUGAAAUAUUUAUGUGGAUAUAAGGAUACAUU